UGUCUCCGUUGCUGAGCAGCAUGUGCCUGAGAACUCCGCGUCUCAUUGAUAUGACAAGCUUAUCGCCGGAUUAUAUUGGAGGCUACAAGGUCAUUCCCUUUGAUGUUAAAAAGGCUAUAAAAGAGGGGGGGGGGUCCCUGCCCGGCCUGCGCAUUAAGUCAGAAAUAAUGUCUCUCUCCAUAUUCUGUGGGAAAUGCAGGGAGCUCGGCCUCAGACUCGGAAUUUGACAUUUGCAGGGAAAUGCGUGCCCAGACUCGAGAUGGAGGUGACUUUCUCAGGAGUCGUCUUGAGGGGAGCGCGUUGUCUCUGGGCUCCCCAGCCGACGAGUCCCGGGUCUCUUCGCCAAGUGGCAAAAGGUCGCAGGGCCGGUCCCCAGCGGCAAGGCUGGGAAUGCCUCCCAUCUGAAGCCCUGCGGAGCUGCGGCUGCCAGCCUGUGUGGACAGCACGCAGCUAUUGGGACCAACUGGAAAAGAAGGGAAUUCGCCCUCGCCUCCUGCUUGGAGGGCACAAGAACCGGCCUCCACGUUAACUGGGAACGAAAGGAUGGCAAUGGAUCAAAAAAUAAUAAGACGAAUUUAUACGAGCCAGACCAUAAUAUAUGCUGCAGGUGCUGUUCUUCCAUGUGCUUCAUUAUUUGUAUGAACAAUAAAACCAUGCCAAAUAGCA